GCAGCGGGUGUGGUCUGGGAGGAAAGGGGUGGUAACAGCAGAGGCGGGGGCAGGUCCCCACGAACCUCGGGGAGAAACUGUCACUGUGGCCGCGUGGAACACGCAGCGGCGCCCAAGGAGUUGCCAGGUGCUGUGGGCGGUGCCUCCUUUUGAGCUGACUGGGUCUAGAAACCAUGAAGGUUUGAGGCGGGUGAAAGGCCUCGCGGGUCCCUGAUUCUCACUCACCUGCGACCGGGACCCAAACCGAACACCUGCGGCACCUCACGCUGAAGAGCUGGAACCCUCCACCGCCACCUGCGCGCACCCACCCGGAUCCACUAGGGUCGAAGCCACUUCCGGUCCUGCGACGGGCUAGGAGGAUGUAAUCCCAGCCGGUGCGUGCAAAUGGGCGACGCCAUAUUGUACGGUAGCUGCCAGGGCAGCUGUGCCCGCCCCAGUUUCUCCAGUGCUGAACAAAGGAUCUGUUAAAAUUGGAAAGGCUUAUCGUCUCUUCAGAAAAGGGUAUUUGUGUUUUUGUUUCUGGGGUGGUAUUUUUGUUUGUUUUGAUUUGGGUUUUGAAAGGAGUGGCCUCUGGAACCCUCUCAAAUGCAAUAUGGAACAUCUAAUUGUUAUUACUAAUUAGCUCCAGUAAUGCUACUCUACUGCUCUAAUUUUCUUAACUGUUAAAUGAUAAAGGUAAAUAAGACAGACACUUGUUUAAAUAAUGUAUUCCUGAGUAGCAGUGCAUUUUAUACCAUUGCCAUUACAAUAAUUACGCCAUCUUGUAUAACAAUAACCACAAUACCUUAUGUUUAUAUUUAAAAUCAUUCAUUCAACCGGUCUUUAUCAGCAACUAUUAUAUGUGAAGAAGCUAACGUGUGCUCUGUGUUGUUAUUUUGUCAUAGAAUGUGUAACGGAAGGAGAAAUGCGAUGUGCAUAAACAAUGUAAAGUACAAUAAUAGAUGCCAUUGUUGACUGUGUACAUGCACUGUGCUAGAAACUUUGCAAAUUGUUUCAUGUAUUUUAUCUCAUUUAAUCCUCACAACAACCUCC